CUGCCAUAUCACAUUGAAGCACCAGUUCUUAUAUGAUCACUAAAGUUAAGCAAUGUUGAGCUUGAUCAGUACUUAAAUGGGUGACUGCUUGGGAAUACCAGGUGUUGUAAG